CAGCCGCCGCGGUAAUACGUAGGGUGCGAGCGUUAAUCGGAAUUACUGGGCGUAAAGCGUGCGCAGGCGGUCGUGUAAGACAGGUGUGAAAUCCCCGGGCUUAACCUGGGAACUGCGCUUGUGACUGCACAGCUAGAGUAUGGCAGAGGGGGGUGGAAUUCCACGUGUAGCAGUGAAAUGCGUAGAGAUGUGGAGGGACACCGAUGGCGAAGGCAGCCCCCUGGUCCAAUACUGACGCUCAUGCACGAAAGCGUGGGGAGCAAACAGGAUUAGAUACCCCGGUAGUCCCUGUCUCUUAUAU
rnacentral:rRNA from 1 species